UGCGGAAGGAUCAUUACUGAGUAAGGGUGUUCUACGCCCGAUCUCCAACCCUAUGUUAAAACACUUUGUUGCUUUGGCAGGCCCGUCUUUCGGGACCGCCGGGGGCAUUCCAGCCUCUGGUCAGUGCUUGCCAGUAGCCAAUUCAAAUUCUUUAUUAAAAAUGAAGUCUGAAUCUUUAAUUAAAAUUUAAUUAAAACUUUCAACAACGGAUCUCUUGGUUCUGGCAUCGAUGAAGAACGCAGCGAAAUGCGAUAAGUAAUGUGAAUUGCAGAAUUCAGUGAAUCAUCGAAUCUUUGAACGCACAUUGCGCCCUUUGGUAUUCCGAAGGGCAUGCCUGUUCGAGCGUCAUUAUCAACCCUCAAGCCCGGCUUGUUAUUGGGUCCUUAUCGUUAAAGAUAGGCCCGAAAGAUAAUGGCGGCGUCAACAAUGACCCCAGAUGCAGCGAGCUUAUAGCAUACAUCGAAAGGUUUUGUUGUCCCGGCCUUUUUUGCUUCGGCAAAGAUUUUUCAAAGGUUGACCUCGGAUCAGGUAGGAAUACCCGCUGAACUUAAGCAUA
rnacentral:rRNA from 1 species